UGUAGCUUAGUGGUAGAAUGCUUACCUGGUAUGUAUGAGGCCCUGGGUUCAAGCCCCAGUA
rnacentral:tRNA from 1 species